CCUACGGGUGGCAGCAGUGGGGAAUAUUGCACAAUGGGCGAAAGCCUGAUGCAGCAACGCCGCGUGAGCGAUGAAGGCCUUCGGAUCGUAAAGCUCUUUCGUCAAGGAAGAUAAUGACGGUACCUAAGGAGUAAGCACCGGCUAACUACGUGCCAGCAGCCGCGGUAAUACGGAGGGGGCAAGCGUUACCCGGAAUGACUGGGCGUAAAGGGCGCGUAGGUGGGUUCUUAAGUCAGAGGUGAAAGGCUAUGGCUUAACCGUAGUAAGCCUUUGAAACUGGGGAACUUGAGUACGGGAGAGGUAGGUGGAAUUCUUAGUGUAGCGGUAAAAUGCGUAGAUAUUAAGAGGAACACUAGUUGCGAAGGCGACUUUCUAGAAUGUAACUGACACUGAGGCACGAAAGCGUGGGGAGCAAACAGGAUUAGAUACCCGUGUAGUC
rnacentral:rRNA from 1 species